rnacentral:sRNA from 1 species
UAAUAGCCCUGAUCGAGCGGCCUGUCUGAGCUCUUUUUCUUUGGGGAUUUGCGCGGCGGCGAAGCCGCCGCGCAAAUCCCCAAAGAAAAAAGCGAGUAGCGAAAGCAGGUUCCCAG